rnacentral:rRNA from 1 species
AACGAACGCUGGCGGCAUGCCUAACACAUGCAAGUCGAACGGGCUGUAGCAAUACAGCCAGUGGCGAACGGGUGAAUAACGCGUGGGAACCUGCCUCGGAGUUCGGAAUAACCGCGGGAAACUGCGGCUAAUACCGGAUACGGCCUGAGGGCGAAAGGAGCAAUCCGCUCCGGGAGGGGCCCGCGUCCGAUUAGCUAGUUGGUGGGGUAACGGCCUACCAAGGCGAUGAUCGGUAGCUGGUCNGAGAGGAUGAUCAGCCACACUGGAACUGCGACACGGUCCAGACUCCUACGGGAGGCAGCAGUGGGGAAUAUUGGACAAUGGGGGAAACCCUGAUCCAGCAAUGCCGCGUGGGUGAUGAAGGCCUUGGUUG